rnacentral:rRNA from 1 species
UACGCAGGGGGCGAGCGUUGUUCGGAAUUACUGGGCGUAAAGGGCGCGUAGGCGGCGACUCCAGUCAGAUGUGAAAGUCCUGGGCUUAACCUGGGGACUGCAUUUGAUACUGGGUUGCUUGAAUUCGGGAGAGGAUAGCGGAAUUCCCAGUGUAGAGGUGAAAUUCGUAGAUAUUGGGAAGAACACCGGUGGCGAAGGCGGCUAUCUGGACCGACAUUGACGCUGAGGCGCGAAAGCGUGGGGAGCAAACAGG